CCUACGGGUGGCAGCAGUGGGGGAUAUUGGACAAUGGGGGAAACCCUGAUCCAGUGACGCCGCGUGAGUGAAGAAGUAUUUCGGUAUGUAAAGCUCUGUCAGCAGGGAAGAAAGAAAUGACGGUACCUGACCAAGAAGCCCCGGCUAACUACGUGCCAGCAGCCGCGGUAAUACGUAGGGGGCAAGCGUUAUCCGGAUUUACUGGGUGUAAAGGGAGCGUAGACGGUGAUGCAAGUCUGGAGUGAAAGGCGGGGGCCCAACCCCCGGACUGCUCUGGAAACUGGGUGACUUGAGUGCAGGAGAGGUAAGCAGAAUUCCUGGUGUAGCGGUGAAAUGCGUAGAUAUUAGGAGGAACACCAGUGGCGAAGGCGGCUUACUGGACUGUAACUGACGUUGAGGCGCGAAAGCGUGGGGAGCGAACAGGAUUAGAUACCCCAGUAGUC
rnacentral:rRNA from 1 species